rnacentral:rRNA from 1 species
AUUGAACGCUGGCGGCAGGCCUAACACAUGCAAGUCGAACGAGUGGCGGACGGGUGAGUAAUGUCUGGGAAACUGCCUGAUGGAGGGGGAUAACUACUGGAAACGGUAGCUAAUACCGCAUACCAUCGGAUGUGCCCAGAUGGGAUUAGCUAGAAGGUGGGGUAACGGCUCACCUAGGCGACGAUCCCUAGCUGGUCUGAGAGGAUGAACAGCCACACUGGAACUGAGAAACGGUCUAAACUCCUACGAGAGGAAACAGUGGGAGAGAUUGCACAAUGGGCGCAAGCCGGAUGCAGCGAUGCCGCGUGUAUGAAGAAGGCCUACGGGUUGUAGAGUACUUUCAGCGGGGAGGCGUUACCCGCAGAAGAAGCACCGACUAACUCCGUGCCAGCAGACGCGGUAAUAC